GACGAACGCUGGCGGCGUGCUUAACACAUGCAAGUCGAACGGAAAGGCCCUGCUUUUGUGGGGUGCUCGGGUGGCGAACGGGUGAGUAACACGUGAGUAACCUGCCCUUGACUUUGGGAUAACUUCAGGAAACUGGGGCUAAUACCGGAUAGGAGCUCCUGCUGCAUGGUGGGGGUUGGAAAGUUUCGGCGGUUGGGGAUGGACUCGCGGCUUAUCAGCUUGUUGGUGGGGUAGUGGCUUACCAAGGCUUUGACGGGUAGCCGGCCUGAGAGGGUGACCGGCCACAUUGGGACUGAGAUACGGCCCAGACUCCUACGGGAGGCAGCAGUGGGGAAUAUUGCACAAUGGGCGGAAGCCUGAUGCAGCAACGCCGCGUGCGGGAUGAAGGCCUUCGGGUUGUAAACCGCUUUCGCCUGUGACGAAGCGUGAGUGACGGUAAUGGGUAAAGAAGCACCGGCUAACUACGUG
rnacentral:rRNA from 1 species